CUUUUCUUUUUUUUUCUUUCAUCUUGAAUCUUUUUAUGCAGAAUUUCUCUCGUUUUGUGGACCUAAUCCAGACUAAAGCUUUACGCUAAUACGCUGAUCUCGCUUUGCGCCCUCUCCUUCGGAUUUCAGCCGCGUGGUGCAGUGCUGGAGCUUGUCUCCACACGUUUUCUCAGCACUUUUGUUUUUCUUUUUAAUGAUAAUUAUUGUGAAACAGACUUGGGAGCUUAAAGGAAUAGCCUGACCAAACUUGCUAACGUUGAACGGAAGCUGGUAGCUAUCAGUGGUUUGCCUCAUGCUAGUUUGGUAGCUGCUUGUUUUCUGUGAUUAUUAGCGACAUUAGCUUUUGCUGACACAACUAUUCCUUUGUCUAGCUGAUGCGAGGCGUGGCACCUUUAGCACGUCGCUUUUAUUUUUUAUUUUAUUUUUGCUUUUUUUGCUUUUCUUGGCUGAGACUUUGCCCAACAUGUGUAAACGUGUAUGUGUGGGGGAGGGAAUGCUGACCGGUAUGGCUCGGUUUGCGUGGCUGAUUGUUUCAUUUCGUUGUGCUGGUUUGUAAAGGACUUUUAUUUUGGCUAGUGGCAGAUAUGAGUGAGAUUUUCUUCCAUGUUAGUUGAUGCAAAUGUGCAGAUCUUGAAUGUUGUGCUAAUUAGCAAAUAGACACACCCUUGGCUACUACUACCAACUUUUCCUCACUUCAGUUUACUCUUUCAUUUUUACUCGUUUUUUUUGUUGUUUUUUUUAGAAUUACUUUUAUAUUUUUGAUCAGACUUUCAACAAAGAACAAACGGAGAGCUUGUCUGGUUUUUGGAGUGCGUGUCUUGUUUUUUGGCUCUGGGAAGUUUUUGUGUCUCUUACUAAUUAGGGAACACGUCAGAACACUGUUUGCUGCUAGAGUGUGUGAUUGAUUGAUUAAUAGAUUGAUCGGUUGAGAUAUUGGGUGAUUGAUUAGACAGGUGAUAUCUUUAUUUGAACCCUCCCCAGUUGGCUUAUCCAGGCUCCGCCUACAAAUGCGUUUUUUUUCCCCAAAAAUACUGUUGUGAGGGUGGUCAAGCUUUCAACCUGACAACUCUGUUUGUAUCAAAAUGCGUAAAAUUAAUUUAACAAUUAAACAUUUAACAAUAUUUAGGUGUUUUGCUAAUGUUUGCUAAUUUCGGAUGAUAUUUAUUUUUAAUGCCUGAAUGGUCACACUGCUAGUGAGCAUAAUCAAGCUAAAGUUAGCAAGGUUAGCAUCAUUUUCAUUCUAGCUAGUUUCAAUUAUCUCCAGCUGGGUCUGUCACAAUCUUGAAAUUUUAACACAGUACAAGCCUGAAAUGAUUGGCCAGUUAGCUGUCUAGCUUUCUUGCUAUUGUAGCUCCGAGCUGAUGAUGCACACAGCUUGAACUCAAAUAAACAGACAUAAUUCACCACGUCUUCUAAAUAAAUUAUAAGCAAACAUCAAUUAAACAAAUGUUGCUCACCAGCGCCCUCUAAACGCGUGCUUAACAAACAUUGAAUAAACACACAUCGCUCACCGCCGCCCUCUAAAGGUAUUAUUAACAAACAUCAAAUAAACAAAUGGUACUCACCGCCACCCUCUAGACAAUAAACGUCCUUUAGACAAUAAACGUUGCUCACUGCUGCCCUCUAAAGGCGUCCUUUAGACAAUAAACGUUACUCACUGCUGCCCUCUAAAGGCGUCCUGUACAAACAUCAUAUAAACAAAUGUUACUCACCGCCGCCCUCUAAAGGCAUCCUUAACAAGCAUUAAACACACAUCGCUCACCGCCGCCCUCUAAAGGUUUCCUUUAGGCAAUAAGUGUUGCUCGCUGCUGCCCUCUAAAGAUGUCCUUUAGACAAUAAACAUUGCUUGCUGCUGCCCGUCUAAAGGUAUUAUUAACAAACAUCAAAUAAACAAAUGUUACUCACAGCCGCCCUCUUAAGGCGUCCUUUAGACAAUAAACGUUGCUCACUGCUGCCCUCUAAAGGUGUCCUGCACAAAUAUCAAAUAAACAAAUGUUACUCACCGCCACCCUUUAAAGGCAUCCUUAACAAGCAUUAAACACACAUCGCUCACUGCCGCCCUCUAAAGGUUUCCUUUAGGCAAUAAGUGUUGCUCGCUGCUGCCCUCUAAAGGUGUUAUUAACAAACAGCAAAUAAAUUAAAUAAACAAACAUUCCUCGCUGCUAUCCUGUAAAGGUGUCAUUGUAAGAGCAGUGAUAACUGCAUUUCCUGCUUUGUUUUAUUUGCCUUAACCCAACAAAAUGUUGUGCCAUAAACAUAGGAACAUAAAAUAAUUGCGUGCAGGCAAUUAUGUAAUAAUUGUGACAGGCCUAGCGAAAUCAUAGUGCAGCAGUACGCAGCCUCACUACAGUAGACACGUAAGAAGGUAAUUGUGGGCGGAGCUUGGACGGGACAAUUGCAUAAUGCUGUACGACCCCUGUAGAUCUGACACGAACGUUCUUUUCUGCAGAGAGAAAGUGAGACAGAAAUGGUUACUGUACUUAUAUAGAUAUUUACAUUUUGUUUUUCUUCCCAUAUUUGCCUGAAAUUUGAUGUGGCUAAACUGUUUGUGUAACUUACAGAGGUAUAUGUGUCCAUCCCCGCUACGAUAAUGUUGCUAGGAAUAGAUUUCAGUCUGGCUACUUUUUUUUUUUUUUGUUUGUUUGUUUUGGACAUAGUAAACCUGCCCAGUGUGUUUGAGUGCUUAUGUGGGAGCAGUUUUUUAGUCAUUUUUUCAAAAACGUAAGCCUUGAGUUGUCUUUCUUGAACCUCACAGGGUAAUUUAUUAAAAUUUAUUAAAAUUUGAAAUGUAACAAAACUGACAAUCUAACAUUGUAUAGCUAAUCUCAACACAAAGUGCCCCCCCCGGUUUGCCCUGGACUUUAGACUUUGGCACUUUGUUGUGUCCGUAUGUAACCGAGUUUGGCCAAAUAGUGAGCAGACGGCCCCUUUGAGGGCGUUUAAGGCUGGCUAUUUUUGUAGAAAUAUAAUAGAUCAUCUAAAAUGAGCAGAAAUCACAAUAGUAGUCUGAGAAAAUGAAAGGAAUGUGCUGUUAUACACAUUUUAAAGUGUGUAAAAAAUCUGCUUUACGAGAGUGGACCUGACGUGCGAUGACUCUAAAAGGAAACUGUUAAUGCUUUUAACUUCUAAAUAAAGCAUUUAUAACACGGCACCUACCAGUGAUGUUAUUAAAACACUACCGUGGUGAUUGACUGGAUUAUCCUGUACGUUUCAGGACUGAAAUUUGCUACCAAAAACGAGGCUGUUUCAAGAAAGAUUGGUUCAUAAGCUGAGAUGACACUGUCAGAAGUCAUUCAAAUGCUUUUUGUUCUGUUUCUUUUGGCUAAUUUAGUGCUUACGGAUGUGUUACGAAUGCUUUUAGCCACAGUGCUAAAGUUUCAGUAACACAACAGACAUAAGCAAUGCAUAACACUUAACCAUGAAUAACCCUAAAUACAUGUUUAUGUUGGUGGUAGGGUUGCCAGAUCACCGUGUUACAGCAUCAGCACGGGCACACACAUGCUGUUACAACCCAGCUGCCUACAUGAGAGGUCACCAGAGGUCAUUUCCGCAGAUGAGCCUCGGCCCUGGACCGUUUUGCACACUUAGUCGUGAUGUUUUUCAUUGGAAAUCGUGUUUAUUUUCGAUUUAGGGUUAAUCUACAGCCGGUAACGCUGCUCUCCGUGUGUAGGUCAUGAUAACACAACCUUCUGAAUGUGUUUCAGUUUCGGAUCCUGUAGUUAAAAGUGCUGGCGAUGUCGAUGUUUAUGAGGAUGAAACGGACAUGGCCUUUUCAUGUAAAUACCAUGCAGUUAACUUUAGCCUUAAUCCCUCCGGUCCCCGAGUCCACCGCCCCCCUUACCCCGAUUAAAGCGAUGGUUUUGCGCAAAAACAAAUGUACAGUUUUACCUGGAGCUGAAUUGUAGUUGAUGAGGCUUGUUUGGUGUCUGAAGUUUGCUUCUUCACUGUCGGUUGCACCGUUUUUUUCCAAGCGACCAUUCAAGCUCGUUCAGAGCGCAGUUCAGUUUUAUUAACUCUAAAGCACGACUGAUGUGUCGCUUAUAUUCCUAGUCAUGUGUUUUCUUUUUCAAAAAGGUCAUUUGUGAAAAAAGAUCUCUGAAAUUCUUCGGCUCAGGUCACAUUCUUUAUAUAUCACAUGAACACAACAGUGGUAUUAAGUAACACUUCAGAGUUCAGAGUGGUUUGGUGUGAAACGCUCUGUUCUAGAGAAACUUACCGAGUCAGAACUUUUCACAGUGGUGGUGAUAGGAACCAGACGUCCACCUCUAAAAGCUCCCUCACAGAAAGUUCCUACAGUAAACGGUUAUGAAUUCACUGCCUGAUGACUGAGACACUGUUUUAUGAUAGUUUUAAGAAGAUUUUGGCCUUAAAAUUCGUUCAUGGUGGAGGGAUACAUGCAGGAGGCAAAAAUAGUCCCCAAAGAAAACUUAUUAUUUCAGAUUUUUCCACUAUUUUCCAUCAUCAACAUUCAUAUAAACUCAGAUGACUCAUGUAGGUUCACUGGUGGUUCUGGAUAGUAAAUAAAAUGUCUAUAUUUGUGUAUAUUUGUAAUUUCUAUCACCAUCACUGUAAAUUGGUGGAUUUCCCUUUUAAUGUGUUAGCAGUUUGACACGGUGUGAUGAUUUAUGCUGUUAGCACCAAGCUAAAUGCUAUAAUACAUAAAAAAUUGUUAAAGAUAUUAAUGAUGAUGUUUUUAGCCAAAACUAAAGAAGAAGAAAACUUCAGACACAUCUUGGCUGAUCAGCUACAUUUGCGAGUUACAUAAGAGUGGAAAAAACUGUAUGUGGUCAAAUUAUCGCUUUAAAUGAGAAUGUGUAAAUGAAAGUUUUAGUGUAAACGAAACCCCAGUGCUGAACCUCGUGCUUUUGUGUAAAGGGCGACCAGUUUCACAGCUGUGGAAACAGUGGUGUGUCCACUCACUCGUCUCGCUCUCACACACACACACACUCCCACGUGACCCCGCCCUCUUUUCUUUUCUGCACGUUGAUUGGUUUCGGUUGAUUUUAGCCAACAGUUGCCCUCCUAAGCUAAGCUAUUUUUAUUAAAUGAUUAAUAUGUAUAUUUGUAUUUUCAUUAUAAAUAUGUACACAGAAUGAUGUGAGUAAUCAAGGAAAAUCGCUCCCUCUCCUAACACAUUGUGACCCCCACCACAGGCAUCCUUUAACUGUCUGACUUUUUUUGUUUUUUGGGUUUUUUUGGGUUCUUGUCAUUUUAAUCUUUUCAGACUGGAAAUAAAACCUAUUUUAUUUGAAAAUG